GAUGAACGCUAGCGGCAGGCCUAAUACAUGCAAGCCGAACGGCAAGUCUGAUAGCAAUAUUAGACCUAGAGUGGCGUAAGGGUGCGUAACACGUAUGCAAUCUACCCGCAACAGGAGGAUAGCUCGGGGAAACUCGAAUUAACCCUCCAUAAGAGCUUAGACCGGCAUCGGUUAGAGAUUAAAUCUGAGGAGGUUGCGGAUGAGCAUGCGUCUGAUUAGCUAGUUGGCGGGGUAAUGGCCCACCAAGGCGAUGAUCAGUAGGGGGAACUGAGAGGUUGAUCCCCCACACUGGCACUGAGAUACGGGCCAGACUCCUACGGGAGGCAGCAGUAGGGAAUAUUGGACAAUGGGUGAAAGCCUGAUCCAGCCAUGCCGCGUGCAGGAAGAAGGCCUUC
rnacentral:rRNA from 1 species